UACGGGGGGGGUAAGCGUUGUUCAGAAUUACUGGGCGUAAAGGGCUCGUAGGCGGCCAACUAAGUCAUACGUGAAAUCCCUCAGCUUAACUGGGGAACUGCGUGUGAUACUGGAUGGCUUGGAUUUGGGAGAGGGGAUGGCGGAAUUCCAGGUGUAGCGGUGAAAUGCGUAGAUAUCUGGAGGAACACCGGUGGCGAAGGCGGCGAUCCGUGGACCAAUAUUGACGCUGAGGAGCGAAAGCCAGGGGAAGCAAAGCGGGGAUUAAGAAACCC
rnacentral:rRNA from 1 species